rnacentral:rRNA from 2 species
UACGAAGGGGGCUAGCGUUGCUCGGAAUUACUGGGCGUAAAGGGAGCGUAGGCGGAUAGUUUAGUCAGAGGUGAAAGCCCAGGGCUCAACCUUGGAAUUGCCUUUGAUACUGGCUAUCUUGAGUACGGAAGAGGUAUGUGGAACUCCGAGUGUAGAGGUGAAAUUCGUAGAUAUUCGGAAGAACACCAGUGGCGAAGGCGACAUACUGGUCCGUUACUGACGCUGAGGCUCGAAAGCGUGGGGAG